rnacentral:rRNA from 1 species
UACGUAGGGUGCGAGCGUUAAUCGGAAUUACUGGGCGUAAAGCGUGCGCAGGCGGUGAUGUAAGACAGGUGUGAAAUCCCCCGGCUUAACCUGGGAACUGCGUCUGAUACUGGGAGCUUGAGUUCGGGAGAGGGAUGUAGAAUUCCAGGUGUAGCGGUGAAAUGCGUAGAUAUCUGGAGGAAUACCGGUGGCGAAGGCGGCAUCCUGGACCGAAACUGACGCUGAGGCGCGAAAGCUAGGGGAGCAAACGGG